rnacentral:lncRNA from 1 species
AGCAUAACUUACUGACUUACCAGUUAAGUAUAGUCAUCACUUACUGUGAAAUUCCAGAUGCCUGCCAGGCUCAGCUUGUAUCUUCAUCCUUCGAGAAGCAUCUCAACAGGCUGGGUUUCCCUGUGUUGGUUUAGAAAGCUUUCCUGCCUGGGCAUUAAAGAAAGAAAGUGGCCUUGUGUGCUGCUCUGGACAGAUCCCUGGAGGAUAUGAGAUACCCUGUCAGUUCACACUUCUCAUUUCUUCUCCAAGCAUAGCUCUAGCACCCUUCAGCUUCUGCUCACCGUUAGCCUGUCAGUCUGGGCCCACUAGACAAGGCAGGAGCUCUCCAGCAUCCGAAAGCAUUGCUGCUGUUUGCGCUUCAGUUCUUACUGCACAUGUAUCUCAUUGGCUUUGGAAUAGCUGAGUAGCUCCUGUGGUUUUUAUUUUUGUGGAUCUACAGUGUACAUGUGCUACCUAGUCAGGUAGGAGUCCACCAUCUUAGCUCUGACUCAGGGUGCCAGCAAUGGGUCAUUUCUGUCUCUUAGGAGGUAGAAGAGGCCUUGUGCUCAGGGCAAGCUUUCAUUCCCACAGGUGAGGGACACUUGCAAAGUGCCAGCAAGGCUAGAUGUUUUGCCACUUCUUUGAUUUUUAUUAAUUUGGGCUUUUAAAGGGCUGUUUAAAAAAAAAAAAAAAAAAGCGGCCGGGAACCUCUGAGUAGGUGUGCUGCGUCCGGAGCUCCCUCGAACCUAAGCUAGAGGUCAUCUUUUACAGUGUACUUACUUGAAGAAGCUCUAUUCUAAUCAAUGAGAAUCUAUUUGAGUCUGCAAUUUAAGUUAAAACCUUUUCCGUUUCAAAUUGCUUUAUUUCAGGGAAAUAAUUUUCCAGUUGUUUUUGCUAUAUUCUGCAAAUAAAAAGUGUGUGUUUCCUUUUUUCCACCUAAACUUUGGUAGGAAACAGACUAAAGCAGACAAACAUUUCUUGUUGUGUUUGUUGCUUUCUUUAAUCCAAUGGAUAAAAAAAGUAAAACCCUGUAAACAUUAUUUUAUUUUUUUAUGCAAUACCAUGCUGUAAAUAGGGUUCAUCGAGUAAGGAUGCGCCUACCUAUGACUGAACCUUUGAUUCUGCACAGUUAGAGUUUAUAUAUAAACGUGUCUUGACAAUCAAGGACUUGAUGUGAGUCUUCCUUUAUGAUGUUUAUUAAUGUUAUGCAUUCCAUUUGUUUGAAGUGAGUACCAAUGUGCUAAUUUGUAUUGUCUGAAAGUAUGUAAUGUUUUUACAGCUUGUUUUUAAGACUCUGUAAAUAUGUACAAACCAGUCACAGUACCGCUUUAUGUUAGAAGGCGUGUGAUGUUGUACUGUAUGUAAGCAAUAAUACAUAGCAGUGCUAACUUUACAAGUAGCAUCAGGAACGUUCUAGAGAAACAUUUCAGAGUUAUCCUUAUUAGUUACCCUUGUUUCACUUAAUAAUGAUUACCUUUAAUCAGUUUUUAUAAGCAAAUUCCAUUGUUCCUCCUGUUGGAACGUAACACUGUUUACACAGCAUAACUGACGUUGCAGGGGGGACAGGCUAGAUGUGGCUUCGCCUGUGCUCACUCUCACUAAGCAUUGAAUGGCCUUACCACUCUUGUGCAAAGAUGGAGGAAGACCGCUGAACUUAGUGCCCAUCACACUGAAGGAAGGGAUGUGUUUUGUUUUGUUUUGUUUUGUUUUCCUGUUUCUGUACGGCUACCUAACUCUGGUUUGCUUUGGGUUUUAAUGUGUUUCUGCUCUAGAUUCAAGCCCGCAAGUGUUGAGGUAACUUCAGUUCAGUUGUGAAGUAGAUAGAUUUCUUCAUAUUUCAUAGCUACAUUUCAAUGAUUCUAAACUUUCUACUUUGAUUUUUAGAUACUUAUUUUUCAAGCUUGAUUUCUCAGCUGACCAGAUGAAUUUACUCAACUUCAAUACAAAGAAAGACAAACUUAUAGCUUGAAGUGAGUAGAUAUUAUACUGUACAGAGCAGCUCUCUGAACACCCAUCACUGCUUUAGAAACGAAGCCGCCAAUUUAUAAAUGAUUAUGACCUACAUUUUAUAGGGAAAAUGUUUUUAAUGCUAGUCAUUUAUAUAAUGUGCUUUGAAGGGUUUGCUAGGCCACUCCUGUCACUUUUUAGCACACUGGUACCUUUUCUAUGUAAUGUAUGCUUUUUAUUAUUGUAGCAAAGCAUUUCAGUAGAAAGAAUUUUGCAACAAUAUGGGGGAAAUUUUUCAUUGUCGGGUUUGAAUUAUACUGGAUUUUAUCUGUCUAGUCUUACUUGUCUUUAUUUUAAUGCUGUCUGGAAGGGACCUUGGUACCCAAAUAAAGCAGGUUAACCUCAUUGCUUCAAGGGCAUACAUACUGUGUAGUGCUGAGUUUCACCUGGAAAUCUGAUGACUUUGAAAAGAAAAACACAUUUAUAAAAAUUGUACAGAAGAAAUUAAAUGUGUGAUGGAAAUCCUGAUGGUGGAGCACAUUGGAUUUUCUGAGACAUAGUGUUAUUUUCCUGGAAUCCCUUAUGCCUUCUUUGUAUUCCAGCCAAUAAAGAAAACCUUGUUGUUGAAAGUGGUAGGCUGCUAGGAUAUUCUGAUUAUACAGUAUUGCUUUUCCUGUCCUGGUCUCGGCCCCUCUCAAUUGCUGUAAACUUUUAUUUUCUACUUCCUAUUGCUAAUUAAACAUGUAUAUAAUGU